AGGAUAUAAAAGAUAAAUGAUUUAUAUAUGUAAGAAAUAAGAUAAAAAGAUGUAUAAAUUGAUUUAUAUACAAUUAGAGGUUUUUGUUAUUAAUGGUGGCUGCUGUAAAGACACUGGUAAUUUUGUAAUAAGUGUGGAAGAUGAGAGUGUUUGAGUAAAAUUAUCAAAAUUCAAAAAUUAAAAAUUAAAAAUUAAAUAAAUAAUGACAUUUUUUGUGAAUUAGUUGAAGUUUUAAGAUG
rnacentral:lncRNA from 1 species